GGGGGCGACUGGUAUCGACUGGGAUAGGAUUGUAAUGAUUGCAUGCAGAGGUUGUCGGGAGGCCUCUUAAAAAACCUGACGCAAAACAAACGCAAACAAUAAUAUUGUUUCACUCGACAGCUAUAGAGUAGAGGUCAACAAUGUUGUACCUUUUACACCUAUGGCUUCGACGGCGUUGCCAUUGGCUAUGUAAUAUAGCCACGCCUGACGGCUGACACCUGCUGUGCCGCCGGGCGCAGAUAGCAGGGUAGUUGACGGCGAGUGUCUUCUGCGUUGUCGGCGAAUUCUCGUGUGAAGGCUGGCUGAAUGCAAGCUUUGUCGGUUUGCGUGCAUUCGGCGAGAGCAAAAAAGCGACUAAGCAUGUAGUAUAUUGUUAUAUGAUAAUUUCAGGACGCGGGUUCGAGUCCCGCCGCCUCCACCA
rnacentral:tmRNA from 1 species